UCGUGCAGAAUAGGAUCCCAAAGUGCUUCUAAUGGCCAUGUUUACCUAGGUCCUUAUCUUAUGUAAUUGCUGUUAACUUCUGAUAACUCGUCACUCUGAAGGAAAAGGGAUCAGCAGCUAGUUAUCCGGGCCCACAAGGGGAGCUAUGACUGGUGUGGGCACUCGGCGGAGUCGGGCAGCAUGCUCAGAUGCACGUGGAAGUAGUGCAAUGUGUAUCCUAUAGGAUGAGUUAUCUGAAGUAAGUACUUACAAGAAUUUCUAGAAUACAACUAGUUAUGAGUAAAGCACAGCCCUUUGUUAACACUCUAUAUGGGAAGUGGAUGGCAUAUUGACAGCCUGUCUACUUAAGUGCUAGUGACAGGGUCUUGUUAUCAGGAGUUUACCAUAUUAACUAGGUCGGUGAGAGACCAGACUUGGGGGACCUGGAGUGUACAUUGAGCAGGACUUUCGGGGCUCAAAAUUAAGAACCUGGAAGAGCAUUUGUAUGCAGCACGAAUCUCCAGCAUGAAAAUCCCUUGCUGGUGGAGGUUCUGCCUGUCACUGAAGGAAUCAGCCUGCAGAAUGGAAUUGUGUGGCAGGAGAAAGCCACUAGAUGUUGUUUGCUCAGAAGGCGGAGGUUGAAAACGAAAGGUGAAAUUAUAAUGGAGACCACAGCUAAAUGAAGCAACUUCUAAUGGGUUUAAAAAUUCGCCCAAGUUUGUCGAUUGUGAAUAGUGGCAGCUAAUCCUGCUCUACCUGGCAUCAUUUGGGGAUGUUCAACACCUCACGGAAGAGGCAGGAAAUGGAGCUGGUUGGAUAUGUGAAUGUUGUUGCUGUUCUAUAGUGUUGAACUGUUAAACUGAGUGAAUUGCCCUGAGUAUGCUGUUCACUGAAAUGUUUGAGGUGUGCAAAGUUCUACGUGGGAAUUACGUAAAAGCUGUUGUGUCUGUUCAGAGACUGCUGCGUGUCAAUGUUACUGUAUAGAAAGCCAAGUGCAGCCUGUCUGUAUUCUGUCACUUUAAAAAAUAAACAAAAGAGUUCUGUUUAAA